UAUCAUUUUCAUUUUAAAAAAUCCGUUUUUAUAUUGCCAAUUUAAAUUAUUAUUUGAAUUUCAUCAGCCAUUUAAACUUCUUAUCAAUAAACCUUGUAUUUCACAAAUGUCUAAAGAUACCAAAAAAGAAGGUGCUGCAGCGAAAGCUACACCAGCAGGAGAUAGCAAACCUAAAGAAGGAGCAGCCGCGAAAGGAAAAGGUGGAGCCAAGAAAGCAGGAAAAAAAUGAUUCUCAUCUCCAUUUCAAAUACGUUGCUUGAACAAACUUUUUUAAAAUACCAAUUUAAAAUUUUAUAUUUACUAAUAUACUCAAAUUAUUAUUCAAAAAACUUGAUCUGUAAUAUUUUGUAAAGCAUUCGAUAUUUGUUUAAUAAAAAUGGUAUAAACACCA